CGUUUCUCAUACAGUCCCCCGCACCCUCGGCCGCCCUUCAUCUCUCCACCGCAAAGCACAAGCGAACAACUGAAGCUGCUGCUCAGGGAGGAGAGAGGCGGGGGGGAACGAAAAAAAAAAAGAAAAGCGCCACAGCAGCAGUGACAACACAACACAGGACACACACACAUACUCAAUAAAGAAACGGAACAACAGAAAAAAAAAGAGAGUGGAGUGAACGAGAGACCAAGAGAGAAGGGGAAUGAAAGCUGUGCGGAACAGUACAGAGCCCGCAGCACACCUCUUCAUCUCCACCCUCCUCAACUAAAUAGCGCUUUUUCUUUCCGAUUUCGUCUUCUUCGUCCGCUGUUGCUCCCCUCUUCUCUCUCCCUAUAAGCCGUUGUUCCCUUGUUUGGCUUCUUCUAGCCGCCACCAUCUCCCUCUUUCCUCUUCGUUGCUUCACUUUUCUGCGCGCGGUGCCGGCCUGUGUCGCUCGGUGCGUUUGGUGUGGAGAGGAGAGGAGACAACAGGCACACACGCACAAGCACGCACACGCAGCACGGAACCAGAAAGAAAAAAGCAACGAAGUGCGGAGCGAAGAUAAACAAACAACAUAGUUUGUGCUCUGGCGGUUAUCGAGAAAUCCGGCACUACUCUCCACACGAUUGCUACCGCGUUGUUCACGGGUAAGGCGGCCGUUCGUGUGCGCCUUGUGGACGGCAGAGCGGACUGCGACCGACACCACUGGCCACCAGGGUGUCCAGUUCUUGUUCUCGCUCUCUCUCUCUCUCUCCACUUCGGCCACCCACCGUGUACAGCACUUCCUGACAACGCUCGCGUUGCCGCGCUGCGCACAUCAGGAACGAAAAUACGGCGAGGAAGAGCAAAGAAGAAAAACAGAACUCAGAGUGACGGCGACCACAGGCGACCUUACACCGGCGAUUGCACAGCAACAGACAUUCAACCGAAGGCUAUCAUCGGUGUUGCUUCUUCUCGUUUUCAAUUGAAGCCCCUCUCAGCACCGGCCGUCUGGCUGACGUCCUUCUCCUCUGUUUCUCCCUCCUUUGACUUUCUCCUCCUCCGUCGUAGCUUUCCUCUUCGUCUCUGUCUGUGUAUGUGCGUGAGCGCGCCUGCUGCUAUACCAGGUGUCUCUUGAAGGUCGAGUGUGUGGGGCUUCGUCUCUUUACCUGGUGCUCUCCUCUUCUUUUUCACACUUCCCUUUGCUGCCGCCCCCCUGUCCGUUUUUCUGUUUCGGUCUUUUUGAUUUUCAAUCUUCGUCGCCUGCGCCCCCUGAUCCCCCUCUGCGUUCAGUCCACCCUUACUCGUGACCCUUUUUCUCGCCAUACCCUUGUGGAUUGCCCCCCCCCCGCGUCCUACUCCUUUCCCCGCCUCCUUUUGUCCACACCCCACCCACCCGCGCACUCUGGCGAAGUGGAGGCGUUGCCGCCUCUCACGAACCCGCCCUCUUUUCGUCGGUCCUCUGCAUCUGUAGAGCAACACACGCACACACACACACACACAAACGCAGAGAGAAGGGGUGCAUAGAUGUAGAGAGGAGUGGCUUUGGUGUUUCUUCGUCGCUACACAUUCCCGGUCUCUUUCCUUUACUGGUUGAUAUUGCAUCUAUUUUGUGUACAUAUGUAUGUGAUAGCGGCGUGUGCUCCGCUGUCGUCGUGGCCACUUCACCUGCACUGCUCCCAUUUUACGCACUUCAUUUCUGAGGCUCUGUCUCUAUAGCUGCCCAUCUCCCUUUUUUCUUUCCUUUCCGUCUACCCGGUUCUUUUUCAGUUACUCCACCAUUUCGCUUUCGUGGAUUGCUCGCACGCCGCGGGUGCUUCGGCUCCGAGUACUAGUACUACUUCCAUCUCCGCCCCUCCCCCCUUUUCUUGCUGUUGUCGUUGUUGUUGGUCGGACCUUCGCGGCACACCUCGCUCUCAUUUCUGUGGGCUGCCGUGCUCUCUUUCACGUGCGGCUGUUGCAUUUCUGAGUUUAAAAAAAGAACACGCGACGUGUGCUGACCUUUGUUUCGCUCUUUAUAUACAUUGUUGACGUUUCGCCUCUCUGAGAGCGCGAGUGCGUGCUGGUAUCUCGGCGAGCGUCUUUGCGGUUGCGUGAGCACGUUGUUCGCAAGCUGACAUCGUGCUGGGUGAGGUGCGCUGGCCUCCGUUUCUCCUUUCGUACCUCUAGCACGUUUUCUCUGCGCGCGCGCGUUGGCAACCACACUUCUCUUCUGGCACCGGACUUCGUAUACCCACGCGCUGCCAACUUCCGCCCCACAACUGGCCUCGAUUGAGGGGUGCACACACGCGCACACACAGAGGCGCACACGCAGUCCUCUUGCUCCCUUUCUCUGAGCUCUCCCUUCCGAACGGCAGCCAUGGAGUUUCCCAUAGCGGCUCCCACCGCUGAGCCGGUGCGGCAGUCGACGGCUCCGUGGACGCUGACGACGAGCUCGGAGCAGUGGAAGCCAUGUGCUGAGAAAGAAAGCCCAACUUACUCGUACCCGGUGACGCCGCAGCAUCUUUGCCGAGGUCAGCAAUGCCACAUCGUCAAUUCCGCGUCCACGCCCGAUGACGACAUCGACAGCGAGGAGCGCUGCGUCGCUCCUUCCGCAGAUAGAACAACAGAGGAAGAGAAGGAUGCAGAUGACACGGAGGACUGCAACGUCUUGCGCAAUGAGUGCGGGGGGCCUGUAUUACUGCCCUCGCGCUGUGAUGACACCUUCGCGCUUGGGGUGUCGCUGGCCGUGAAGGCCAAGUUACCCGUGGCGUUGAACGUCUCAUGUGUGCAGCAGACUGCUGCUGCUGUUGCAUUGGUGAAGGCAGACGCGGAUGACUCACACGCCGUCUCCUCUGCUCCCGCCGUUCCCCGUAUUUGCUCACCCGCCCUGCGCAUACCGAUCCAAGGGACGGAAAGGACAGUGCAACACGUGCUCAAGGCCGCAGGCGAUCACAACUCCUUCGCGUCAAAGGCCAUGCAAGCCAUCGCCCUCCAAGCCACGACUGGGGGGCCUCCGCUUCGGUUAAACUGCUCUCGCAGCGAUCUGUCCUCGCUCGUCGGCGGUACUUCGGGGGAUGAUCCGAUGGGAUUGCGCCAGCUCUACAGCCUGCCUGGCUCGCGCGUGGGCAGCUCGCUGGGAAUUCCAACACAUACCCAGCGAGGAGCGGCGCAGUCGUCAGCCGCCGCCGACGCCUUCUCGAUGGAGCGUUUUGCCGCCUUCUACGAGGUGGCGCUGGAGGAGCUGAUGGACGAGUGUGAGCGUCGCGUCGCCAACGCACCAGCGGCGUGGCGGGACAGUCAGCAGCAGCUCAUCGGCGGUGACAUGAACCGUGACCUGGCCACGAGCACGCACUCCUUUGACUCCCCACGCAGCAGCGCCAUGUCCCCAUUCGGCGGCGUACCCUCCAGCGUGGCACUCAGCUGCGGUACCCCUGUAUACUCACCGCGCUUCACUGAUCCGCUGCACAGCACACAUGGGCUGCACAUCCGCGAACUCAGCAGCGACAUCGCAGCCGUUCAGAACCGCACCUCCACCCCACUGCCACCGCCGUCUCUGCAUUCAAACAUGGCCUUCUUCAGCGCUGCUGGGCAGGCGCGCCAGGCGGAACAGGAGAAAAGCGUAGCGAAUGAGGGGGCAGUGUCGAAGUUACUCGCUGCCCUGGGCCGACACCAUGGCAAGAUGGCACCAAUGGUGUUCAUCGCUGGUCUGGCGUACCUUGCGCGAGUCACGGCGCAGUGCGCCUCCGAGUUUCUGAGCGUCACACGCGCAAACUGGUACCGCCUCACCACCACCGCGAUUCUCGUUGCCGCCAAGGUGUACGACGAGCACAGCUCGUCGCGGCUGAACGCCUGCUUUGCCCGAUCCUCCGGCAUUCCACUGAGCGAGAUGACGCGGAUGGAGCUUGACUUUUUGUACCUCCUCGAUUUCGACCUGCUUCUGAAGGAGUCGGAAGUGGAGCAGUGGCUAAUAUGGAUGGAGACGCUCGCGCUGCGCCGCGACUUGAUGACGCCACUCAAUACUUACGUGCUAGACACAAGCGCGAGCACGCCUGCCGUGCAACUCGCCGGCACCCCGAAGCCGUCUUUCACAAGCAGCACCACACUUACAGAGUACGGGGAGCGCUGCAAGACAUGCGCGAUGUGCGAGGCGAGUCGCACGCCGGGCUUAUCCAGCGAGGUUCCGGAGGGCGAAGAAGAAGCCGUCGGGACCUCCCUGUCCUCCGUAGUCGUCCUGCGCAGCGUCCCGCAGAUGCAUGUGGCCAGCAGCUGUGCGAUGACGGCCCCGUGCGCCGUCAGCAGCACUGCGAACUCGCGAUGCCCUACUGGGGCAGCGGCGGCGACCGACGCUCCAUCCCUCACUGCCCCCCUCGUCGAUCUCCCCAGCCUUCCGCCUCGCAGCUCCGCUAGCUCGGUGCUGCUUCCGGUCAGUUUGUUGGAUGGCACCUUCAGUGCUGUUAGCGCGGCGAGUGUGCCAGGCGGCGCGCCCUCUUCCUUGAAUGACCGUCGGACCUUUGUUCCACCCUUGCCGAUCCACGGUGCGCUGCCGCUUCACCCGCCGACGGCGAAGAGGCGCCUGUUCAGCGUCGUGCACGGUACUGCCGAGCCGCCGAGCCCAAUUUCGGUGCGUCAGCUCGGCCGCCUAGGCGGUAGCCCGCCGAGUCCGCUGCGGCCCCCGUCGGUGGGGCGACACCCGUCGGUGCGGUUUUUCAAGUCGCAAGCCACACAUGCUCACGGGCCGCACCGCUACGCCAGUGGAACGGUAGGCUGCGCUGAACUCGGCAUGCACGGCGCCGAGGACGGCGGCGGCAAGGUGUCUAGGCGGUCGUGCCAAGAUCAGGUGACGAGGGCGGGCAGCGCAAGCGCAGCUGGCCAAACCUCGGCACCCGCCGCGGCGAGCCACCAGCAAAAGCGACGCUGGGGCCCACUCGGUAUGGUGCAGCAUGUGCGUGAUGUUCUCGGCGUCACAGCGUCUCUGGUGCGUGGUCAGCUGGACGUGCUAGCACCAUCAGCGCAUCCCGAGGAGUUGAGUCGGCUGCCGCCGCCGCAACAGAACAGAGAGCAACCUACGUCGCAGGCACUACGGCCUUCUACCAAAAGUCUUUCUGGAAGGGGCGGGUGUACGAGUCUGCAACCGCAGUCAUCCGCCAUGCCGCCGCGUCGCACAAACAACGGCGGCACCUAUCCGCCUUUUCCUGAGAAUUUGAUGGACGAGCGAAAGCCGCAGACAUGCAACGCUCCGCCCGCCGCCGCAGUCGCAUCUCGUCGGUUUACCGACUCUAAUCCCCAGCCUAGGCCUGCUGCACCGGAUUGCCACCGCUGCGGUCUUGCGACGCCCGGCGCUGUAACCAGGCGGAGCCCGAUGCCCCGAAGCAGCCCGCAGCAUGUAGACCCUUGCUCGUCGGCGGGGACGCAGCCGUAUACGAGUACGGUCGCUAAUGCCGCUGCUGAUCAGCCAGCAGCGGCGGCAGCCGCGAACGGGGCGUACGCGGACGGCGACAACUCCCACGACGAGGAUGACGAGGGGUACGAGGAGUGCGAGUACGGCUACUACGACGAGGACGGUUACUUCCACUACUACGACGACGACGAGGGCGCGGAGGGGGAGUACGACGAGUACUACGGUGAAGAGGACGAGGAGACCGCGUGGUACGAGGAUGAGGAGGAGGACGAAGCUGCUUACUUUCAGCGAUGCCGCCCACCGAUGACACACUCGCCGCCGUCCUUGUAGGAUGAAGAUGAGCUGUCAGAUGGAGCGGCGCUGCAGGAGUGGUUCCUCUGCCAUCGCUUUUUGAUGCCUUCUGCAGCUCACUGAAGAAGAGCUUUCUCCCUUUUCAUCAUUGGCUGCCUCCCUUAUAGAUGUCGAAGCAGGGAGAGACAGCUGCUGGAGAGAAGGGUGGGAGGAGGUGAGAGGUUCGAGAGUAUCCCUGCAUGUGGUCACAGGCGCCUACAAAGGCACUCGAUUGAGGCACACGCGUCACAAGGGGCGUAUGGUCGACUCUCUCUCUCUGUGUUGAUCUGUGCGUCGAGCAGUGUGAGAUAGACAUAUAUGCCGGUGGAAGGGUACCCUCUUUUUUUGUGUGUAUGUGUGUUUUUGGCGCUCGGCCAAAUGGCGUGGGUAGGUGAUCGACCUUGUCCGAGGUAGCUUCAUGGGCUGCGUCCUUUGCCCUCUUCCAUCUUCUCUCUUCUCGUGGCCAUCUUCAGGGUGUGGUGUCGCGUGGCUCAUUGCGUGACGGCUGUGAACACACGCACACGCGUUCACCGAAAGCGAAGCGAGCGAAGGAAUCGACGUGGCUGAAGGACGGCGAAAGGCAGAAGAGGCCCGGCAAGUGAACAACAACAGUAGAAAAAGAGAAACUGUGAGGCACCGAGUUGAGCAUGCAGGCGGCUGCAACGUGUCGUGCGGUUGAUGCACGUAAAAGAAGGUGGCGCAUAUGUGUCUGUGUGUGCUUGUGUGCGUGUAGCCGGUGGCAGGAAGAGGGCAAAGUGUGGCGAUGUACCAUAGCCCCUCGUCUUGAUUUUCGUUGCUGACUUGAGUGUGUGUGUGUGUGUGUGUGUGUGGUUUCUCUUCUGCUGCUGCUGCGACCCCACGUAUAAAGUAGUCGGCGCGCGUCUCGUACUCGGUCCCUGUUAACGUGGCGCGGUGUGAGCGCAUGCGUAGGUCAACCGUACGGCUGUAGUUUCACUGGGCGGACUUGCCCCUCUCUCUUUGUUGUGCUCGAUUUUUACUUUUCUUGCUCACCGCCUCGGUGCCGAUCAUCGUGGCUGAUGGCUUCAAGGCAGGCGUUGGCGGUAUGUGCCUUGCGGCGCUGCACUCGCUCUUGCCCUCCGCAUUGACGAAAGAGAUAUAACGCCUUUGCUGCUUUUGGUUGCUGACGCGUGCUCGGAUGCCUCUCUUGCCUUGACCUUGCCGUGCCUGUGCUUUGUGUUUUCUAGCUUGUCUGCUUGGCGUCCUGUCGUGGGACGUGUGGCGCCGGCGACGCACCCUUCUAUCGCUCUCGCUCUCCCAUCAUGUCGACUCUCUUCGUGUCUUCUCCGCUACUGCCCCAUGCCCGCUGCUUCAGGGCUUGCACAAUUCCGUGGUUCCUGGGACGGUGGUGGAGCCGUAUAGAUGCCCGUGCUUUGGAUACGAGAGAGAGGUAACACCGGGUAUGGCGUCACGCUGCACACACGACUCUUGUCGUAUGUGCAUGUGUGGGCUCCCGCUGACACACUCCCUGCACUGCACCGCCAUCUAGCCCCCAUUCGAGAUGAGAUAUGAGAACCAAACACAAAAAGAGGGGCUGAAAGGGUGGGUGGUGGUGGUGGUCACAAGGUUCUAGCAGCACACAGACACUCGCGCAAGUGCGGAUCGCUCAAAGAAGAGCGCGUGCCACUCCCGUUCUUCCUCUUUUCCAUCCCUUUCUCUAUAGAAAAGGUAUUAACGGCUCGAAUAAAUGAGCGACAACAACAUCGACCUCUCCUUCUCUCACUCGCUCACGCCCGCUUUCCUAUUGCUCAGGAAACGGGAGACGUGUGUAAUGUUGCAUCAAGGUAUUCGGACAGGGACUCCAACACCGAGGCACACAAACACACACACACACACACACACGCACGCACACAGGCACCGAGCGUGCACGCGGUGCGCACUUCCCUUCCAUCUCAUACCGCUUGUCUCCUCUCGCAAAGUUCUCUCUGCGUAUGCGAAUCCACUGCGCCUUGCCAACUCUCGCCUUUGCUUUUCCUUUCGCCCCUCUAUAACCUCUUCGGCUCCACGCACGCGACUGCCCACGUCUCGCACACUUUUCUGCCUCACGCACAUGGCGUGUGAUCCACGUUCACUUAACAG
rnacentral:misc_RNA from 1 species